rnacentral:rRNA from 1 species
AUUGAACGCUGGCGGCAUGCCUUACACAUGCAAGUCGAACGGUAACAGGUCUUCGGAUGCUGACGAGUGGCGAACGGGUGAGUAAUGCAUCGGAACGUGCCCAGUCGUGGGGGAUAACGCAGCGAAAGCUGCGCUAAUACCGCAUACGAUCUAUGGAUGAAAGCGGGGGACCGUAAGGCCUCGCGCGAUUGGAGCGGCCGAUGUCAGAUUAGGUAGUUGGUGGGGUAAAGGCUCACCAAGCCAACGAUCUGUAGCUGGUCUGAGAGGACGACCAGCCACACUGGGACUGAGACACGGCCCAGACUCCUACGGGAGGCAGCAGUGGGGAAUUUUGGACAAUGGGCGCAAGCCUGAUCCAGCAAUGCCGCGUGCAGGAAGAAGGCCUUCGGGUUGUAAACUGCUUUUGUACGGAACGAAACGGCUCUGGUUAAUACCUGGGGCUAAUGACGGUACCGUAAGAAUAAGCACCGGCUAACUACGUGCCAGCAGCCGCCGUAAUAC